GAAUAUUUAACUACAUGCAUAAGCUUUAAAGGAAUAGUCCAGUUAGACAGUGAGUGUGACUUGAUUUAUUGAUGGUGAACAUGUGUUAACUUACUCUUUCGAAGUUUUGAUGAUUGUAUUAUAGGGGAGAUGUCAUUAUACUUAAAAAAUCGUCAAAGAUAUUGAAUAUUUUUAUAUUUAUUUUAAUCUACCCGUGUAUGCACUGAUCUGGCCUAAAAUUUAGUAAGUAUCGGAAAUUAUAAAACAUAAAGGGAGUAACAACUUUAUGAACUGUAAGGUAAAUUGUGACAACCAAAGAAACCCCACGUACUACUUCUGUAGUGUAAGUCCUGCUCGAGAUAUCGGAACAUCUAACAAAGUCAAAAAUUGAUCCCUCACUGCUGCAUAUUCCUGACCGGCAAUUUCUACUCAAUCAAUUGACAGUUUUUGCCAAUCUCUCAUCAGUUGCAUGUUUCCACUGAAUUCAUCAGUUUAGAAACAUGUCUAUGAAUUGGGUUCAACGCAAAAUCUACUUGUACAAUGUCACAUUUGGACUAUACAUGCUCGACCCAUGGGAGCGUUAUUUGUUCAAUGCUUUGGUUGCUGUCUUGAUGUGGUUCAUCUUCUACAAUGGAUAUCGUAACAUAAAUGAGAUCUGCAAAAGGUAUGUUUGGUGAACCAUGAUUGUAGUCUGGACUAAAAGUGGACAGGGCUACCGUUCUUCUGCAAAUUUAUAUCUGGAUAUAGCAAACUAAGAAAGUUUUUCUUAUUUUUCGUUAGACUUAAACCUGCAAUGAACUGUAUUGUUGCCACUCACUUACCAACAGAGCUAAAAUGCCUUGUCAGGGUUUUAUGAACUUUUUUCCUGCUUGUUGUUUGUUUUUUUCCAUGGUCAUACAUUAGACUUGAAGUUUUAUUUUUCUUGUUGUAGCUUUGUCAAUGUAGUAAUAUCAUACAAUUUAUAUAUCAUUUGAAGUA